UAUGUGAAAGUCACUUCCGCGUUACCCGAUCACGUGGUCACGUGACGCAUUUCGCCCCUCCCACGUGAUCGGGUAACUCGGAAGUGACUUUCACAUA